rnacentral:rRNA from 1 species
GACGAACGCUGGCGGCGUGCUUAACACAUGCAAGUCGAACGAAGUGGCGAACGGGUGAGUAACGCGUAAUCAACCUGCCUUUUAGAGGGGGACAACAGUUGGAAACGACUGCUAAUACCGCAUACUGAAGGAGGGGCUUGCGUCUGAUUAGCUAGCUGGAGGGGUAACGGCCCACCAAGGCGAUGAUCAGUAGCCGGUCUGGAAGGGUGAACGGCCACAUUAGGACUGAGACACGGCCCAGACUCCUACGGGAGGCAGCAGUGGGGAAUCUUCCGCAAUGGGCGGAAGUCUGACGGAGCAACGCCGCGUGAGUGAAGACGGCCUUCGGGUUGUAAAACUCUGUUAAUCGGGGCGCGGUACCGGAAUAGAAAGCCACGGCUAACUACGUGCCAGCAGCCGCGGUAAUAC